rnacentral:rRNA from 1 species
GGGUUGUGAGGUUAAGCGACUAAGCGUACACGGUGGAUGCCCUGGCAGUCAGAGGCGAUGAAGGACGUGCUAAUCUGCGAUAAGCGCCGGUAAGGUGAUAUGAACCGUUAUAACCGGCGAUUUCCGAAUGGGGAAACCCAGUGUGAUUCGUCACACUAUCAUUAACUGAAUCCAUAGGUUAAUGAGGCGAACCGGGGGAACUGAAACAUCUAAGUACCCCGAGGAAAAGAAAUCAACCGAGAUUCCCCCAGUAGCGGCGAGCGAACGGGGAGGAGCCCAGAGCCUGAAUCAGCAUGUGUGUUAGUGGAAGCGUCUGGAAAGGCGCGCGAUACAGGGUGACAGCCCCGUACACAAAAGCGCAUGUGCUGUGAGCUCGAUGAGUAGGGCGGGACACGUGGUAUCCUGUCUGAAUAUGGGGGGACCAUCCUCCAAGGCUAAAUACUCCUGACUGACCGAUAGUGAACCAGUACCGUGAGGGAAAGGCGAAAAGAACCCCGGCGAGGGGAGUGAAAAAGAACCUGAAACCGUGUACGUACAAGCAGUGGGAGCCCCACCACCAAAGCAUUCUCUGGUGUUGAAGGCCCUGCAAAGCAGCAUCGCGGUGGCGGAGCGUCGUUUGCGACGCCCAACACACAAAACAAGCGGUGAGUGCUUUGGGGUGGGGUGACUGCGUACCUUUUGUAUAAUGGGUCAGCGACUUAUAUUCUGUAGCAAGGUUAACCGCAUAGGGGAGCCGGAGGGAAACCGAGUCUUAAUUGGGCGUUAAGUUGCAGGGUAUAGACCCGAAACCCGGUGAUCUAGCCAUGGGCAGGUUGAAGGUUGGGUAACACUAACUGGAGGACCGAACCGACUAAUGUUGAAAAAUUAGCGGAUGACCUGUGGCUGGGGGUGAAAGGCCAAUCAAACCGGGAGAUAGCUGGUUCUCCCCGAAAGCUAUUUAGGUAGCGCCUCGUGAAUUCAUCUCCGGGGUAGAGCACUGUUUCGGCUAGGGGGCCAUCCCGGCUUACCAACCCGAUGCAAACUGCGAAUACCGGAGAAUGUUAUCACGGGAGACACACGGCGGGUGCUAACGUCCGUCGUGAAGAGGGAAACAACCCAGACCGCCAGCUAAGGUCCCAAAGUCAUGGUUAAGUGGGAAACGAUGUGGGAAGGCCCAGACAGCCAGGAUGUUGGCUUAGAAGCAGCCAUCAUUUAAAGAAAGCGUAAUAGCUCACUGGUCGAGUCGGCCUGCGCGGAAGAUGUAACGGGGCUAAACCAUGCACCGAAGCUGCGGCAGCGACACUGUGUGUUGUUGGGUAGGGGAGCGUUCUGUAAGCCUGUGAAGGUGUGUCGUGAGGCAUGCUGGAGGUAUCAGAAGUGCGAAUGCUGACAUAAGUAACGAUAAAGCGGGUGAAAAGCCCGCUCGCCGGAAGACCAAGGGUUCCUGUCCAACGUUAAUCGGGGCAGGGUGAGUCGACCCCUAAGGCGAGGCCGAAAGGCGUAGUCGAUGGGAAACGGGUUAAUAUUCCCGUACUUGGUGUUACUGCGAAGGGGGGACGGAGAAGGCUAUGUUGGCCGGGCGACGGUUGUCCCGGUUUAAGCGUGUAGGUGUGUGUUCCAGGUAAAUCCGGUUCACUUUAACACUGAGGCGUGACGACGAGGCACUACGGUGCUGAAGCAACAAAUGCCCUGCUUCCAGGAAAAGCCUCUAAGCAUCAGGUAACAUCAAAUCGUACCCCAAACCGACACAGGUGGUCAGGUAGAGAAUACCAAGGCGCUUGAGAGAACUCGGGUGAAGGAACUAGGCAAAAUGGUGCCGUAACUUCGGGAGAAGGCACGCUGACAUGUAGGUGAAGUGAUUUACUCAUGGAGCUGAAGUCAGUCGAAGAUACCAGCUGGCUGCAACUGUUUAUUAAAAACACAGCACUGUGCAAACACGAAAGUGGACGUAUACGGUGUGACGCCUGCCCGGUGCCGGAAGGUUAAUUGAUGGGGUCAGCGCAAGCGAAGCUCCUGAUCGAAGCCCCGGUAAACGGCGGCCGUAACUAUAACGGUCCUAAGGUAGCGAAAUUCCUUGUCGGGUAAGUUCCGACCUGCACGAAUGGCGUAAUGAUGGCCAGGCUGUCUCCACCCGAGACUCAGUGAAAUUGAACUCGCUGUGAAGAUGCAGUGUACCCGCGGCAAGACGGAAAGACCCCGUGAACCUUUACUAUAGCUUGACACUGAACAUUGAGCCUUGAUGUGUAGGAUAGGUGGGAGGCUUUGAAGUGUGGACGCCAGUCUGCAUGGAGCCGACCUUGAAAUACCACCCUUUAAUGUUUGAUGUUCUAACGUGGACCCGUUAUCCGGGUUGCGGACAGUGUCUGGUGGGUAGUUUGACUGGGGCGGUCUCCUCCUAAAGAGUAACGGAGGAGCACGAAGGUUGGCUAAUCCUGGUCGGACAUCAGGAGGUUAGUGCAAUGGCAUAAGCCAGCUUGACUGCGAGCGUGACGGCGCGAGCAGGUGCGAAAGCAGGUCAUAGUGAUCCGGUGGUUCUGAAUGGAAGGGCCAUCGCUCAACGGAUAAAAGGUACUCCGGGGAUAACAGGCUGAUACCGCCCAAGAGUUCAUAUCGACGGCGGUGUUUGGCACCUCGAUGUCGGCUCAUCACAUCCUGGGGCUGAAGUAGGUCCCAAGGGUAUGGCUGUUCGCCAUUUAAAGUGGUACGCGAGCUGGGUUUAGAACGUCGUGAGACAGUUCGGUCCCUAUCUGCCGUGGGCGCUGGAGAACUGAGGGGGGCUGCUCCUAGUACGAGAGGACCGGAGUGGACGCAUCACUGGUGUUCGGGUUGUCAUGCCAAUGGCACUGCCCGGUAGCUAAAUGCGGAAGAGAUAAGUGCUGAAAGCAUCUAAGCACGAAACUUGCCCCGAGAUGAGUUCUCCCUGAGACUUAGAGUCUCCUGAAGGAACGUUGAAGACGACGACGUUGAUAGGCCGGGUGUGUAAGCGCAGCGAUGCGUUGAGCUAACCGGUACUAAUGAACCGUGAGGCUUAACCUUACAACGCCGAAG